rnacentral:sRNA from 1 species
AUUUUAAACCUCCUUCUACCGAAUUUCGUUUUCCCGUUCGGCAAAGUCCAAAAAACUUUCUAUUUUAACUCCCCUUUUGUUCUUUGCAUCAUGUCAUUUACUCUUAAUACUUAAUUUGUUGUAACCUGCAGUAAAACAAAAAAAAAAAAAAAACGAAAAGUGCAACUACUGAAAGAUAAAAAAGAGAAAAGAAACAAAUCCAUACAUACAAUGAGGUGGAAAGCAAAUUUGUGAUAAAGAGAACAACUGGAAUCUUUAGUAUUCUCUUGAGUGUUUUUAAGCAAAAAAAAAUGUCAAACCUGUAGCGCCCACAAUUUCUAUAUAGAACAAAACGGAAUUAGAAUUUUAUUAUUAGUGGAAUUUAGAAGAAUUUUAUCACGCUACACUGGAUUUAAAUUAAAACAAAAAACGGAUUCGGUUUCGAACAUCAAUCCAUCAUCAGCAACGGUCGCCCAACAUGUAUAAAUGCAAGUUAUGCAAUAAGUUCCACGCACUGAAGGUUUGUCCCAAAUUUCUGAAAAUGACGCCAAAACAGCGAAAUGUUUUGGUACUUAAAGAAACGUACUGCGUAAAUUGUCUUGCAAGAAGCCACAGAUUCCGCGAUUGUCGAUCCCGCAAUAUGUGCAGAAGAUGCGGAAGGCCACACAAUACUUUACUUCACCCCAAUUACACGAAUCGAAAAGGAAACCAGACCAGCAACAACAGCACCAAAAGCGGCAACAACAGUGGCAACAACAGUAGCAACAACAGCAGAGACAAUAACAACAGCAACAACAACCAAUGUGAAUCUGGGGCAAAUCAGAAAAUUUUGUCUGAAGCUAUUCGUGCGUUAGCAACCGUUCUAUGUUCGUCACCAAAGUGAUUUUGUCCGCGGUGGCAGCAUGUCUAAACCAAUAGUUUAGACUUAUUCAUAAUUUAAAAGUAACUGAAUUUUACUUUA